GCCGGGGUGGCGGAAUGGCAGACGCGUGCGCCUCAAAAGCGCAUGGUAGGCAACUAUCAUGUGGGUUCGACUCCCUCCCCCGGCA
rnacentral:tRNA from 1 species